CACGUAGUUAGCCGGGGCUUUCUGGUAAGGUACCGUCAAGGUACCGACAUAUUACUUCGAUACUUGUUCUUCCCUAACAACAGAGUUUUACGAUCCGAAAACCUUCAUCACUCACGCGGCAUUGCUCCGUCAGACUUUCGUCCAUUGCGGAAGAUUCCCUACUGCUGCCUCCCGUAGGAGUCUGGGCCGUGUCUCAGUCCCAGUGUGGCCGAUCACCCUCUCAGGUCGGCUACGCAUCGUUGCCUUGGUGAGCUUUUAUCUCACCAACUAGCUAAUGCGCCGCAGGUCCAUCUAUAAGUGACAGCAAAAGCCGCCUUUCAUCUUUCAUUCAGGAGAAUGAAAGUUUUAUUCGGUAUUAGCACCGGUUUCCCGGAGUUACUCCCAAGCUUACAGGCAGGUUACCCACGUGUUACUCACCCAUCCGCCGCUCAUUCCACAGGUCGUCACCCCGAAGGGAUCUCGUCCUCGCUUCCUGCGCCACGUACCUUGCCAUCGUAGUUAGGCACGUGCCGCCG
rnacentral:rRNA from 1 species